rnacentral:rRNA from 1 species
UAGUCCACGCCGUAAACGAUGAGAACUAGAUGUUGGGAGGAAUAGCCUUUCGGUGUCGCAGCUAACGCAUUAAGUUCUCCGCCUGGGGAGUACGCCGGCAACGGUAAAACUCAAAGGAAUUGACGGGGACCCGCACAAGCGGUGGAGCAUGUGGUUUAAUUCGAUGCAACGCGAAGAACCUUACCUGCCCUUGACAUACAGAGAACUUUCCAGAGAUGGAUUGGUGCCUUCGGGAACUCUGAUACAGGUGCUGCAUGGCUGUCGUCAGCUCGUGUCGUGAUAUGUUGGGUUAAGUCCCGCAACGAGCGCAACCCCUAUCUAUAGUUGCCAGCACGUAAUGGUGGGAACUCUAUAGAGACUGCCGGUGAUAAGCCGGAGGAAGGUGGGGACGACGUCAAGUCAUCAUGGCCCUUACGGGAUGGGCUACACACGUGCUACAAUGGUGCAUACAGAGGGUUGCCAACCAGCGAUGGGGAGCUAAUCUCAGAAAGUGC